rnacentral:rRNA from 1 species
CAGUAGCCGCGGGAAUACGGAGGGCGCGAGCGUUACCCGGAUUCACUGGGCGUAAAGGGCGUGUAGGCGGCCUGGGGCGUCCCAUGUGAAAGACCACGGCUCAACCGUGGGGGAGCGUGGGAUACGCUCAGGCUAGACGGUGGGAGAGGGUGGUGGAAUUCCCGGAGUAGCGGUGAAAUGCGCAGAUACCGGGAGGAACGCCGAUGGCGAAGGCAGCCACCUGGUCCACCCGUGACGCUGAGGCGCGAAAGCGUGGGGAGCAAACCGGAUUAGAUACCCCGGUAGUCCCUGUCUCUUAUAC